rnacentral:rRNA from 1 species
UACGUAGGGGGCAAGCGUUGUCCGGAUUUAUUGGGCGUAAAGAGCGUGUAGGCGGUUUGGUAGGUCCGUUGUGAAAACUCGAGGCUCAACCUCGAGACGCCGAUGGAAACCAUCAGACUAGAGUCCGGAAGAGGAGAGUGGAAUUCCUGGUGUAGCGGUGAAAUGCGCAGAUAUCAGGAAGAACACCCGUGACUAAGGCGGCUCUCUAGUACGGUACUGACGCUGAGACGCGAAAGCGUGGGGAGCGAACAGG